AUAAAUUGAAUUAUUGAAACUAAAACUUUCUAAUUAAAGAUUUAAGUAAUAUGGAAAGAUCAAAAUUCAUAGAAGGUUCUUAGUUGAUUUGUAUAAUUUAUAGAAGGUUUUUGAUCCUAGAGGCGACGUAAAUUUUCUUUGCUAUUGCAGAUGUGGCUAGAUAAAAUUAUCAUUAGUAAAGUGGAUGAGGCCAUAUGAAUUCUCGAGGUCCACGGAAAUUCUCUCAAUAAGUUGAAUGAGGCCAAAAGUAAAACUACCUGGCUAGAGGUCCAAGUGUAUGUAUGUAUGUAUGUGUUGCAAGUAUCAUAUUAUAUUUAAUUCUGAAAGAAUUUCAUGAAUGCAAUAUAGAAGAUUUAUCAGAAAGCUCCGAAGGAAAGCCAGA
rnacentral:lncRNA from 1 species